CAGUCGAGCGGUCUUCAUUAGCUUGCUUUUGAGAUCAGCGGCGGACGGGUGAGUAACACGUGGGCAACCUGCCUGUAAGACUGGGAUAACUUCGGGAACCGGAGCUAAUACCGGAUAAUCCUUUCCCUCACAUGAGGAAGCUGAAGACGGUUUCGGCUGUCACUUACAGAUGGGCCCGCGGCGCAUUAGCUAGUUGGUGAGGUACGGCUCACAAGGCACGAUGCGUAGCCGACCUGAGAGGGUGAUCGGCCCACUGGGACUGAGACACGGCCCAGACUCCUACGGGAGGCAGCA
rnacentral:rRNA from 1 species